rnacentral:misc_RNA from 1 species
UCUCCGUUGGUGAACCAGCGGAGGGACCAUUACCGAGUUUUUAUACUCCCAAACCCCUGUGAACUUAUACUUUUACUGUUGCUUCGGCGGGUUAACGCCCCGGAAGGCCCAAAAAGCCACAGGAACCAGGCGGCCGCCUGGGGUCCCAAACUCUUGAAUUUCUUACUUUGCAUGUCUGCGUGGAAUCAUAAACAAAUGAAUCAAAACUUUCAACAACGGAUCUCUUGGUUCUG